GACGAACGCUGGCGGCGUGCCUAAUACAUGCAAGUCGAGCGGACGGAUGGGAGCUUGCUCCCAGACCGUCAGCGGCGGACGGGGGAGUAACACGUGGUCAACCUGCCUGUAAGACUGGGAUAACUCCGGGAAACCGGGGCUAAUACCGGAUAACUCUUUCCCUCACAUGAGGGAAAGCUGAAAGAUGGCAUCUCGCUAUCACUUACAGAUGGGCCCGCGGCGCAUGGGCUAGUUGGUGAGGUAACGGCUCACCAAGGCGACGAUGCGUAGCCGACCGGAGAGGGUGAUCGGCCACACUGGGACUGAGACACGGCCCAGACUCCUGCGGGAGGCCGCAGUAGGGAAUCUUCCGCAAUGGACGAAAGUCUGACGGAGCAACGCCGCGUGAGUGAUGACGGUUUUCGGAUCGUAAAGCUCUGUUGUCAGUGAAGAACAAGUACCGGAGUAACUGCCGGUACCUUGACGGUACCUGACCAGAAAGCCACGGCUAACUACGUG
rnacentral:rRNA from 1 species